AUUGAACGCUGGCGGCAGGCCUAACACAUGCAAGUCGAGCGAGCGGCAGACGGGAGAGUAAUGUAUGGGGACUGCCCGAUAGAGGGGGAUAACUAAUGGAAACGGUGGCUAAUACCGCAUUGUAUCGGAUGGCCUCGAUGGGAUUAGCUAGUAGGUGGGGUAAAGGGUCACCUAGGCGAGGAUCUCUAGCUGGGCUGAGAGGAUGAUCAGCCACACGGGGACUGAGACACGGCCCAGACUCCUACGGAGGCAGCAGUGGGGAAUAUUGCACAAUGGGCGCAAGCCUGAUGCAGCCAUGCCGCGUGUAUGAAGAAGGCCUUAGGGUUGUAAAGUACUUUCAGCGGGGAGGCGUUACCCGCAGAAGAAGCACCGGCUAACUCCGUGCCAGCAGCCGCGGUAAUUC
rnacentral:rRNA from 1 species